GUCGAGCGGACUGAUGRGAGCUUGCUCCCUGAUGUUAGCGGCGGACGGGUGAGUAACACGUGGGCAACCUACCUGUAAGACUGGGAUAACUCCGGGAAACCGGGGCUAAUACCGGAUAACCCGUUCCUCCUCAUGGAGGGACGGUAAAAGAUGGCUUCUUGCUAUCACUUACAGAUGGGCCCGCGGCGCAUUAGCUAGUUGGUAAGGUAAUGGCUUACCAAGGCGACGAUGCGUAGCCGACCUGAGAGGGUGAUCGGCCACACUGGGACUGAGACACGGCCCAGACUCCUACGGGAGGCAGCAGUAGGGAAUCUUCCGCAAUGGACGAAAGUCUGACGGAGCAACGCCGCGUGAGUGAUGAAGGUUUUCGGAUCGUAAAGCUCUGUUGUUAGGGAAGAACAAGUGCCGUUCGAAUAGGGCGGCACCUUGACGGUACCUAACCAGAAAGCCACGGCUAACUACGUGCCAGCAGCCGCGGUAAUACGUAGGUGGCAAGCGUUGUCCGGAAUUAUUGGGCGUAAAGCGCGCGCAGGCGGUCUUUUAAGUCUGAUGUGAAAGCCCACGGCUCAACCGUGGAGGGUCAUUGGAAACUGGGAGACUUGAGUACAGAAGAGGAGAGUGGAAUUCCACGUGUAGCGGUGAAAUGCGUAGAUAUGUGGAGGAACACCAGUGGCGAAGGCGACUCUCUGGUCUGUAACUGACGCUGAGGCGCGAAAGCGUGGGGAGCAAACAGGAUUAGAUACCCUGGUAGUCCACGCCGUAAACGAUGAGUGCUAGGUGUUAGGGGUUUCGAUGCCCUUAGUGCCGAAGUUAACACAUUAAGCACUCCGCCUGGGGAGUACGACCGCAAGGUUGAAACUCAAAGGAAUUGACGGGGGCCCGCACAAGCAGUGGAGCAUGUGGUUUAAUUCGAAGCAACGCGAAGAACCUUACCAGGUCUUGACAUCCUUUGACAACCCUAGAGAUAGGGCUUUCCCCUUCGGGGGACAAAGUGACAGGUGGUGCAUGGUUGUCGUCAGCUCGUGUCGUGAGAUGUUGGGUUAAGUCCCGCAACGAGCGCAACCCUUGAUCUUAGUUGCCAGCAUUCAGUUGGGCACUCUAAGGUGACUGCCGGUGACAAACCGG
rnacentral:rRNA from 1 species